rnacentral:misc_RNA from 1 species
GAUGAAGAACGUAGCGAAAUGCGAUAAGUAAUGUGAAUUGCAGAAUUCAGUGAAUCAUCGAAUCUUUGAACGCACAUUGCGCCCGCCAGUAUUCUGGCGGGCAUGCCUGUUCGAGCGUCAUUUCAACCAUCAAGCCCCCGGGCUUGUGUUGGGGACCUGCGGCUGCCCGCAGGCCCUGAAAACCAGUGGCGGGCUCGCUGUCACACCGAGCGUAGUAGCAUAUCAUCUCGCUCUGGGCGUGCUGCGGGUUCCGGCCGUUAAAGCCUUUUUUUUUUACCCAAGGUUGACCUCGGAUCAGGUAGGAAGACCCGCUGAACUUAAGCAUAUCAAUAGCGGAGGA